rnacentral:rRNA from 1 species
CCUACGGGUGGCAGCAGUAGGGAAUAUUGCUCAAUGGGGGAAACCCUGAAGCAGCAACGCCGCGUGGAGGAUGAAGGUUUUCUGGUUGGUAACUCCUUUUUUUAGAGAAGAUAAUUACGGUAUCUAACGGAUAUGCAGCGUCUCACUCCGUGCCAGCUGCCGCGGUAACACGGAGGGUGCAACAGUUAUUCGGAAUCACUGGGCGUAAUGAGCGCGUAGGGGGGGUAGAAAGUCAGGUGUGAAAUCCUAUGGUUUAACCAUAAAACUGCAGUUGAAACUGUUAUUCUAGAGUGGGGGAGAGGUAGGUGGAAUUCUUGGUGUAGGGGUAAAAUCCGUAGAGAUCAAGAAGAAUACUCAUUGCGAAGGCGACCUGCUAGAACAUGACUGACGCUGAUGCGCGAAAGCGUGGGGAGCGAACAGGAUUAGAUACCCGGGUAGUC